UACGUAGGGGGCAAGCGUUAUCCGGAUUUACUGGGUGUAAAGGGAGCGUAGACGGAGCAGCAAGUCUGAUGUGAAAACCCGGGGCUCAACUCCGGGACUGCAUUGGAAACUGUUGAUCUGGAGUGCCGGAGAGGUAAGCGGAAUUCCUAGUGUAGCGGUGAAAUGCGUAGAUAUUAGGAGGAACACCAGUGGCGAAGGCGGCUUACUGGACGGUAACUGACGUUGAGGCUCGAAAGCGUGGGGAGCAAACAGG
rnacentral:rRNA from 1 species